UGGUGGUUUGUUCAUUUUCAAGAGCUUGAGAUAGCUCCGCGAUCUCGUUAGCAUAAUCACGCUCAUGACCUUCCAUUGUCUCAAUGGUGGCCUCAUGCUCCUCGAGAUGAGCUUCCAACUCCUCAAUGUAUUUCUUGCCCUCAGUGGCAAUAGACAUGAUUUCCAAGAAGUUGGAACAAGCAAGUUUAUUUUUAUAAAGAGAUUUAAAAAUCAUUUCACCCUUAAUUUUUAAGGAUGCAAUAAUAUCACUCUCUUCAUCAUUAUUCUCAUCCUCAUUAUCAUCAACAUCAUCAUCAUGAGAUAAUGGGAUUCAAAGUAGGAGAUACCUUUGAAGCCUUAGCCAUAAGGCAAAAGUGAGUAACAAUAGAUGAUGAUGUAGGAUCCCUUGAAGGAUCAUUCAAGGCCACAUCUUGUUCCAUGGAGUGAUGAAUUUACUCUACAUUCUUAGCACAACAACUCGAGGAAAUAUAUACAUUUUUUUUAUCAUGGCAAUAAUAUAUAGGAAGCAUAUCAUCAUGAGAUUUAGUCAAGCAGUUUUUACAUGAUAUACAAGGACUAUCAACACAAGCAUGUAAAACAUUUAGAGUGCUCGAAGUGUUAAUGCCCAAAGAUGAAGCAUUUCAAUAAUAUAGUGAUGAAGGAUCAUCAACAAUAAGCCCACUAUCAUCAUUGCAAUGAUCUCCACUACUCACCAUAUCAUUACCUUGUGGCAAUCCACAUGUAGGUGAAGUAGAUGAAGUUGAGAAGACCGCACGACCGGAGGUGGAGGGAGAACAAUCAUUCCCACAAAUCUUGGACAUACCAUAUUUAUCUUGAAGCUUUGUCCACAACUGAUGAGCUUCCCGGAAUGGCGUGAGUUGAAAUAUAACUACAUUGCUCAAAGCAUCAAGAAGCACAUUAGAAGCUUGAGCAUUGAGAUACGAGUUUUUCUCAUCCUCUAAAGAUAUAUUUUUAGAAUACUUUGGAGAGCAAAAACCCAUAUCUACAAUUCACUCUAAAUUUGGGUCCAAGACCCAAAACUGAUUAAGCAUGCGAAUUACCAAAACAUCAAAAUUUGUGCCAUCGAAACUAAGAGUGUCAGUGAAUCCUAAACCCUUAGUCGACAUCCUUACUCUCUAGGUGGUCAAACCUAAUAAAGAGAGACAUAGCUCUGAUACCAAUUGAAAGGACGUGGAUGUCGCCUAGAGGGGGGGGGGUGAAUAGCCGCUUUAAAAUAAUUACGGUUUAGGCUUGAAGAAAUGCGGAAUAAAACUAACGUUUAAUUUGUCAAGAACAAAACCUACAACAACUAGGCUCACCUAUGUGCACCAACAACUUAUGCUAAGCAAGAUAAAUGACUAAGUGAUAGCAAGAUAUAUCACAAUAAACACUAUGGCUAUCACAAAGUAAAGUGCAUAAGUAAAGGGUUCGGGUAAGAGAUAACCGAGGCAUGCGGAGACGAUGAUGUAUCCCGAAGUUCAAACCCUUGCGGAUGCUAAUCUCCGUUGGAGCGGUGUGGAGGCAAAAUGCUCCCCAAGAUACCACUAAGGCUGCCAUAAUCUCCUCACGCCCUCACAAAAUGCAAGAUGCCGUGAUUCCACUAAGGGACCCUUGAGGGCGGUCACCGAACCCGAACAAAUGGCAACCCUUGGGGGCGGUUACUCGUACCCAUACAAAUUGCUCGAGGCAAUCUCCACAACCUAAUUGGAGACCUCGAUGCUUGCCCGGAGCUUUACACCACAAUGAUUGAGCUCCAAGACACCACCAAGCUUCUAGGACGCCAAAGCAUCCACGAAGAACAAUCUCUAGGGUACUAAGUACCAAAAGGUAAUAUGGCUUCUCAAACUUCACUUCCACGUAUCACCAUGGAGAACUCAAACCGAUGCAACUCAUGCAAUGGCAAAAACACACAAAGUGGUCAAGUCUCUAACACUCAAAUCCGUCCACAACAACAAAAGCUAUGGAGAAAUAUGAGAGGAAGAACAAGGAGCUCACAAAGAACUCCAAGAUCAAGAUCCAAGUGGUUCCCCUCACAUAGAGGAGAAAGUGAUUGGUGGAGAUGUGGAUUUAGAUCUACUCUCUCUUUUCCCUCAAGAACAAGCAAGAAUCAUUGGAGGGAUUGAGAGUUAGCAAGAUCUAAGAAGGUCAACAAUGGGGGAAGAACAUGAGCUCAACAGAUAGAUUAGUCCAAGGGGGCAGAAGACCCCCUUUAUAUAGUGGGGGAAGAAAUCAGACCGUUACCCCCACUUACAGCCCGAGCACAGCGGUACUACCGCUAGCCCUGGCAGUACUACCACUAGACCCUGGAGGUACUACCGCUAGCCCUAGCGGUACUACUUCUAGCCCUGGUGGUACUACCUCUAGAGAAAGUCUUCCCAAAAAGUCCGACGAAGAACAACUGCUCAGAGAAAGGUACUACCGUCCCGAAGCGGUACUACCGCCCACCCGGAGCGGUACUACCGCUCCUAGAGCGGUACUACCGCUAGGGAGCGGUAGUAAUUAGUACCGCUCCGGGGGAAGUACUACAGCUCCGGGGGUGGUACUACCGCUACAGGAGCGGUACUACCGCUCGCACCAGGAGUGGUACUACCGCUGGAUACUGAAUCUGCUCUAAAUUUCGCAUACGGACUCCGAUUUCAACGAAACCAAGUUUGUUGGAAAUCUAACGACAUGGGCUAACACAAUCUUGAUAGAAAUAUCAAUAAAAAGCAAGUGAGAAAUGACCCAUAAGAAAAUGGUGAGAGCCCUUCUUCGAAUAAGACCGGUAAAAACUCCCAAUAUCGAAAACAUCAUAGAAGAUGCAUAUGGACUCCGUUUUCGAUGAAAUCGAGCUUGUCAUGAAGAUGACCAUAAGAUCUAAAACUCACAAAUAUAAACACCAAACAAGAACCAAGAAGUAUGAUGCAAGGAUGCAAAUGGUUUGAGCUCUCAAGGAACGAUACAAUCAAGCUACUCACUUGAGAGCCCCCCUUGACAGUACAACAAUCUAUCCUAAAACAGAAAACUUAUCAAGGGCAAACAUAUACCUUGCACCUCGUCCUAUUGAGCUACAUGAUGAUGAUCUUGGCUACCACAAGAUGGACCACCUUUCUUGAUUGCGUUGGCUUGAUGAAGACUAGUUGAUUUCUUCCCCAUACAUACUAUGGGUGACACACUCUUCAACAUAUCUUCACAAGUCCAUUGCCACGACAAUGGACGACAAGCUUCAAGCAUGAUUUAUUCGUGCUGAUCCACUUGAACUUGCACACCACAAUCUUGAUGACGAUCACCACUUGACGUCAUCCUUCAUGGGUUGUAUGAGAUAUUCCUUAUGACGCAAGCCCAUGGAAACACACCUAACCCCCACAUAGAACUCUCACAAAGACCAUGGGUUAGUACACAAACACGUAACGGACAAUGCUUAUGAUACCAUGGGAUCACUUGAUCCCUCUCAGUACAUCUUGUAAGCUUUGUCUGUUGAUCAUCUUGAUUUACUCUUUGUUUGACGAUCUUGAUCAACCUUGUGUCUCUAUGACCAUUCUUUGGAUAAUACCUUGAAUACCAUCUUGGUCAUCAUCUAAACUCCUCGAACCCAACAGAUGGACUUCAAGAAGUGCCUAUGGACAAAUCCUAUAAAUGUUACUUAAGGCAACCAUUAGUCCAUAGGAAUUGUCAUCAAUUACCAAAACCAAAUAUGGAGAAAUAUGCUCUAACAAUCUCCCCCAUUUUGGUAAUUGAUGACAACCACUUAAAGAGACUUUAUAUAAGGAAAUAAGCAUAACCAAGCACAAACAUGCAAAGCAAUAAUGCAUGCGUACAAGAUGAAAUGCAUAUGCAAUAAAAGCAAAACCCUCUAAGCAUAACCAAACUAAACUCUCUAAACUUCUCCCCCAUUGACAUCGAUUGCCAAAAUGGACAAAAAGUUUAGAAAGCCAAUAUAGUAGGUGGUCCUCCAAAAAGUGUGUACUUAUCUACAAAUGAGUGCAGAGAAAUACACAUAUACAAUGAUAAGAAGUUGGAGGAAAACGAACUAUAUCGAGGACCCAAAGAUUCCAAAAUAAAAGGACCGUAUGCCACAAGGACAUACAAAAAUAGAGGCAAGUAAUCAAAAGAUACCAGAUGGAAUAAACAAUCAUAUGGUACUUCGAACCACAUGAUUAAAAGAUAUUAUGAUAAAGGAAAUGGAGUGUUUUAUCAAAACUAGAGAAGCUCCCCAUGAUUUGUGCACCAAUAAGGGAUUUUCGUAUUUCCUACAAGUGCACAAAAUAGGAUCGUUGCUCCCCCAAAAUUAAUAAAAACACACAACGAGUGCAAGAAGACAGAUGACACAAUAAGCAUACCACUUGCACAAAACAAAUGGUUCAGCAACAUGUAAAAGAAGCAACUUAAGAAUAGGCUCAACAAAAAUAAUGGGUGUGAGUCAUGGCAAAGCACUUGAGAAGACUAAGAUAAGGAUGAGCAUUACUCAUCAACAGAGUCUUGAUGAAAUGAGAAACAAAGUGCAAGGCAUAUCAUNNNNNNNNNNNNNNNNNNNNNNNNNNNNNNNNNNNNNNNNNNNNNNNNNNNNNNNNNNNNNNNNNNNNNNNNNNNNNNNNNNNNNNNNNNNNNNNNNNNNNNNNNNNNNNNNNNNNNNNNNNNNNNNNNNNNNNNNNNNNNNNNNNNNNNNNNNNNNNNNNNNNNNNNNNNNNNNNNNNNNNNNNNNNNNNNNNNNNNNNNNNNNNNNNNNNNNNNNNNNNNNNNNNNNNNNNNNNNNNNNNNNNNNNNNNNNNNNNNNNNNNNNNNNNNNNNNNNNNNNNNNNNNNNNNNNNNNNNNNNNNNNNNNNNNNNNNNNNNNNNNNNNNNNNNNNNNNNNNNNNNNNNNNNNNNNNNNNNNNNNNNNNNNNNNNNNNNNNNNNNNNNNNNCAAAUCCUUUCACGAAGCAACCAAAACUGAAAAAGGAAAUGCAACGGUGGACGUGAAAGAAAAGAUGAUAUUAAUUAGAGAUGUAACUUCUCUCAUGUGUAAAACAUUCUAAGUAGAAGACAAUCAUGAUGAUACAUAUCCACAAAGAAGGAUGUACACACGAAAUGGUUACAAGAAGGAACAAACAAGAUAUCCGAAAGGAAGUUAUAAAUAUAUCAAUAAGAUCUUUGCUUGGAAGCAUAGCACAUGGCCUAAUAUUUUCUUAUUGUACAAUAUGAACUUCCAACAUACGAACAUCAAAGACAUCCCAACUAGCAAUAAGACAUCAUCGUUCGGAUGCUUUGAGAAAGGAAACAAGUACUACAAGAACGAAUCAAGAGAUUCCUGCCAUGAUGCAACUUGGAAAAGAAAAGACAGGUUUGGGCCUUUGCAAAACAUGAGUGCAUGAAGUAGAUACUUGUUACCGAGACAACAUUGGAUUGAUGUAGUAGAUAGUUGUUCGUUGAUCAUCCUAACUUGGCUCCAAUAAUGACAUGGUCUCAACACCUUACUUAUAGGUGAGCCGAGCAUCCAACGCAUCUCCAAUUGUUCCUCGAACAACAAAACAAACAAAAUGGUGCCCAAGCUCAUUGGGACCAAAGAGUUAGAAAACCAACAAUACAUAGGACAAACUCCACAUACAUAUGUGCUCAUAGAUAUGAAUUUGAAUUUCAUGCACACUUUAGCCAAUUUAUGACAAGGUGGAGUUUCCCCUAUAUAUUGGGUCAAAGAAAGAAAGCAAGCAAAAGAAGCUAUAUAUAGUAAAUAUGCAUGCUCAAGGCUUUUAAGAAUAAACUCAACACAAAGUUGAUAAUACACCAAAAGACAAGGUAUCAAGUGAUAAUAAGAUACCAAACGGAAAACCAUGACUUGAAGGAUAUCAAUUAAAAGAUACCUCAAGGAAUGAGAUAUCCAUUGACACAUGCCAAAUAAAAGGAAGCAAGAUACCAAUUGAAGGAAAACAAACACGAGGUAUCUAGUUUCGAAAAGAGAGCUAGGUUCCAACAAACCAAACCCUCGACAAAUUUUCAUGAUGCCACAAAGCAUCAUAAAGAGCAAAUCUUGCCUGCCAUCAACACACACUUGAUGGGGAUAAAAAGAUUUUAUGAUGGGCGAGUAAAGAGAGUGUUCUAAAGAAAAUAGGAUAGCUCCCUCAAGAUAUGUGCAUUAUAUAGAAUUUGCAUUUAAAUAAAAAAUGCACAAGAUGGGAUCAUCACUUUCUCUAUAUCUAUAAAAACACUAGACAUGUUAAAAGAGAUCCACAAGAGGCAAGGAAGACAAACGAAACAAAAAUCCAAUGUAAAGACGAUUAGCAAUUCCUACCACAUGAUGGGAAUACCAAUUGUCAAGGACAAGAAGUAUUUUGGAAAUAAUACUCUUUGGUAGAUCGCAAAUAUAUCCAACAUCAUCUUUACCCAUAAAACGCAAGCAAAUGACACUUGGAGAGCUAACAUGCCACCUAGGAACAAGAUAAUUUACAAUAUCAACAUUAAGUGGCAAUACCUCAAAUGUACACAUUUUCUAGGAUUGUAAUAUGCACAUAGCAUAUUAAUGCCUCAUAAUGUGAUAACCCGACAAUAUUAACAAGUGGAAAAUUAAAACCAACAAGAGAUAAUUAAUGGACCAUAUAGAAUUUGAAUUUCUCAUGAGUAAGACAUACCACAUAGAAACUAGAUAAUCUUGAAAUAUCAAUACUAAGUGGUAUUCCCCAUGUAUACACAUUUAUAGGAUUGUGAGGUGUGCAAAGCACAUCACUCCCCCACAAUGGAAUAAUCCAUUAAUCUUUCACAAGAGCCAACAAAGAUACAAACAAGAUGCAAUAAGGCUCAAUACAAGACUCACAUGUACAUGAUAUGCAAACCAACAUACACAUACUCGAUUACUCAAGAUAAGAAAUUUGGAAGCACAACAUAUACAAACACAUGCAAGGUACAAAACCACAUCAUGCAAAGGGGCAAGCAACUAACAAUGUAAACAGUUUAAGUACAAGUUACUGUAAGGAGGCACUUUGGAUAUAAGAUAGAAACUCGAUAAUCCAAAUGACUUGGCUUGAGAUAAUAUGAAUGAUGAAGACCCCUUAAUUCUUCAUUAUGUAUCCAAGUCUCUAAUGUCCUCCAGAUUCACCUAUUGAUCAAGUAUGAGCUUGUUGGUCCCCAACCAUGUUGGGUCCUAAGAGGUUAGUCACAAUAGGCUUGGCAACCCAAAUGGUACUUUUCUUGACACCACUUUGAGUAGCAACAAACUUGGCAAACACAUUGCCAACCUUAUCCUUCCCAAGAGAAUAGAUAUCAUCAAUAAUGAUUGGGAUGGAUAAAUUACCUCUCGUGCAAGAAGAAGCGAAGUGACCCUUCUCACGACAUAAGUAGCAACAUCUACCCUUUAAUUUCUUCCCUAGUGAUUUCUCAACAUGAGGAGUGUUGGCUUGGGUCUUCUUGGGAAGGGGCCUUUCGAAAUUUUUGAAAAGUUCAUUUGAUAGGUUCUCUGGAUAGGUGAGGUCAAGAAUAAAAUCUAGGCGCUGGUUUCAUCUAAUUUGAGUGAACGAGUAAAAAGUUAUGGCUAUUUGAAAAAUCAGGGCCAAGCUGUUUUACGGAAGAAAAAGUGUUGUCUAAAAGAAUUCUAGUGCUAAUGUGUAAAUACGUAGACUGCGCUCGGGCGGCUGAAGGCCGUCGAUGAGCGGCUGCGGCAGCGCGGCCAGGCAUGCAACGAGCGAGCUGAUGGCCAGCUCAUGUACACAGAGGCACAGUGGCGAGCAUGGGAGGAGCAGGAGCGUGGUGCACGGAACAACGAUGACGGGCAGAGCAUGGCGUCGGACAGCAGCGGCAACCAUCGCUGGCACUGCUACAAGUGCGACAAGCGCGACCAGUUCAAGCGGGACUGCCCCGAGUGGCGGAGGGAGCUGGUGGCGGAGCGUGCGCUGUUGGCGGACAUCGGCGUCGAGGACGGCGGCCUGUUCUAGGCCGUGGCUUAGGGGGUGAACUGUAGGGCAAUAAGCCUCGGCUAGGGGCAACGCGGAGCGCGUGCGUGCGUGUGGUGGACGCGUCCGGCUUGACCCGUGGUAGGUUUGGUGUGCGUGAGUGUAGGAGUGGCAGUUGGCGAGCUGGGGGUGUGCGUUGAGCUGGUCCAUCUCGGGCUCGCCGCACUCGGACGUGUGCGUGCAUGUCGGGGCCGCGGGCAAAGCGGGUUGGACCGGGCGCUCGACAUGGACAAGGUCGUGGGUGCGUGCUCGGCGCAACCCUGGGUAUAAGAACCCCUUGUGUAUGUUGUAACUGUGUGGACUCGCAUCGAGUUCGUGCUUGAGAAAUAGAGGAAGCCGUUCGUGCGGCGGCAGCGUUCGUGCACUGGGAAACCCUAGUGUCUAUCGCGUCUACCUCCAUCUUCCUCCUUCCUUCUGCUGGUUCCAGCCACAGGAAAAGCUAGUUAGAGCUAGGGUAGAUUCCAAUAGUGUUCGAUGAAAUGCCCGAGCCAUAUUUAAGCUUUCUGCUCUCGAUUCUCCUUGUCCAAGAUCCAUUUCCCUCAUGUUUUGUGUAACUUUGGAGGUCCGUCCUGUCCCAUCCCCAGCAUCACCGUCGUCGAUCACCGGUGCUCAUCUCGGCGCCGACACCACCGUGGUUAGUCUCUUCCUCUUAUCUUCUUUCUAAAAGAAAAAAAAUCUUACUUAUAUGAUUUAGAUAGAUACUUAUGUAAUUUUCUUACUUUUAUUAUUGUUUGUUAUUAUAUAGUGCAAUGGUUUUGGUAUCCGCCUCCAUCGGCCCUCGUCCUGUCUAUGAUUCGGAUGUGGUAUAUAUUAUCUUUUAUAACUAUUUGUUUGAUUUAGUGUUUACGAAAAUUGUGCCGACCAACGUGACAUAGAAAUUAUUGCGAAGAAGUUAAAUUUGGUUAAAAACAAAACAAAUACUUGGAAGAAAAAUUACAAAGAGUUGAAGAGAAGACGAUGAUAUUGGAGUUGGAUGUUGCCGACGAUCACAAGAUCAAGAUGGAUGUAAUGCGCUUGAAGAUUAGAAAGAUUAGAAAAUAUGUCAUUCAUAGUGAGGCUUGGUAUCAUUAUGCCAUUGGAUCAAUUGGUACCUUAGUUGCUGUUAUGAUCGCAUUUUUUGUUGCAUUUAAAUUUUAUACUUUCAAUGUAUGUUCUAAUUAGAUUCUCUAGAGAGCUAUAUGUUGUUCAAUAAUGAGAACUAUGUAUGAACGUUAUGUAUUUAUUUUGGUCACUACUGUACUUUGGCUUUAAUGUGAUGAUGAAUUUCGAUUAAUUUUGACACUUCUUUAUUCAUGAUACGUUGUAAUGGUUUUUAAUACACUUUAUUAUAUAACACACACAAAUGAACCGGCAAUGGAUGUACGGUGACCGACGCACCUCCGAGUAUAUUAAGGGCCUGCAUAAUUUUCUCGAAUCGGUUGAGGCAAACAAGUAGAAUGGUUUUAUGCAUUGUCCAUGUACUGUCUGUGAGAAUACGAAGGCUUUCUCUGACUAUAAAACCCUUCACUUCCACCUGCUUCAGAAGGGUUUUAUGCGACACUAUAAUGUUUGGACCAAGCACGGAGAAAGAGGGGUUAUAAUGGAAGAGAACGUAGAAGAAGAGGAUGAUGUCAACUACCCGCCCCUGAAUACAGUGAUGCUGCAAUGGGGGAAGCUGAAGAUCAAGAGGAACCAAACGAUGUGCCUGAUGAUGAUGUUUGUCGGGUCAUUGUUGAUGCACAUAGAUAAUGCGAAAGUGAAAGGGAGAAGGUGAAGUUCGAUCGCAUGUUAGAGGAUCACAAAAAAGUGUUGUACCCAAAUUGCGAAGAUGAGAACACAAAUCUCGGUACCACAGUGGAAUUCCUGCAAUGGAAGACAGACAAUGGUGUAUCUGACAAGGGAUUUAGUUCGCUACUGAAAAUAUGAAGAAGAAGAUUCCAAAGGAUAACGAAUUGCCCGACAGUACGUACGAAGCAAAGAAGGUUCUAUGCCCUCUAGGAUUGGAGGUGUAGAAGAUACAUGCAUGCCCUAAUGAUUGCAUCCUCUAUCGCGGUGCGUACGAGGAUUUGAACGCAUGCCCGGUAUGCGGCGCAUUGCCAUAUAAGAUCAGAAGAGAUGACCCUGGUGAUGUUGAGGGCCAGCACACCAGGAAGAUGGUUCCUGCCAAGGUGAUGUGCUAUGCUCCUAUAAUACUAGUGUUGAAACGUCUGUUCAGAAACAAAAAGCAUGACGAGUUGAUGCAAUGGCACAUAAAAGACCGCCAGAAAUACGGGAAGUUGAGAGCACCUGUUGACGGGUCGCAGUGGAGAAAGAUCAAGAGAAAGUGGAGCGACUUUACACAUGACCGAAGGAACGUAUGGUUUGGUUUAAGUACAGAUGGCAUUAAUCCUUUUCGGGAGCAGAGCGGCAAGCAUAGCACAUGGCCUGUGACUCUAUGUAUGUAUAACCUUCCUCCUUGGUUGUGCAUGAAACAGAACUUCAUUAGGAUGCCAGAGCUCAUCCAAGGCCCUAGGCAACCCGGCAAUGACAUUGAUGUGUACCUAAGGCCAUUAGUUGAUGAACUUUUAUAGCUAUGGAAUGAAAAUGGGUACGUGUGUGGGAUGAGAACAACAGGAGGAAUUUGACCUACACGCAUUGCAGUUUGUAACCAUCAACGAUUGGCCUGCUCUCAGUAACCUUUCAGGACAGACAAACAAGGGAUACAACGCAUGCACACACUGUUUAGAUGACAUCGACAAUAUAUAUUUGGACAAAUGCAGGAAGAAUGUGUACGUGGGGAAUCGACGAUUUCUUCUGACCAACCACCAAUGUCAAAAGAAAGGAAAGCAUUUCAAUGGUGAGGCAGAUCACUGGAAGAAGCCCGCCGUCCGUACUCGUGAUCACAUACUUGAUAUGGUCAAUGAUUUACAUGUAAUCUUUGGAAAGGGUCCUGGCGGACUAUCUGUUCGGCAUGACGUUGCAGGACGCGCACCCAUGUGGAAGAAGAAAUAUAUAUUUUGGGACCUACCCUAAUGGAAAGACCUAGAGGUUCCUUCUGAAAUCAACGUGAUGCACAUGACGAAGAAUCUUUACGUGAACCUGCUAGGCUUCUUGGGAGUGUAUGGGAAGACAAAAGAUACACCGAAGGCAUGGGAGGAACAUCAACGUGUGCAUGAAAAAGAGGACAUGCAUCCAAAGCAGUAUGAAGGCCCUGCCAGCUACGCUCUUAUCAAAUAAGAGAAGGAAAUCUUCUUUGAAUGCCUGCUCAGUAUGAAGGUCCCCUCUGGCUUCUCGUCGAAUAUAAAGGGAAUAAUAAACAUGGCAGAGAAACUUGACUAUGUACAUAUGGGAACUUGACUAUGGACAUGAUUUCAAGGUCCCUUUGUUUCAGUGCAAAUGGGUAAAUUUGUCACGAGGCGGGGUACACAUAGACCCACAGUACGGAAUGACAACAGUGGAUCUGAACAAUCGUGGGUACACAGAAGAACCAUUCGUCCUAGCCAAUGAUGUGUCGCGGGUUUUCUAUGUGAAGGACAUGUCUACCAAACGGAGAAAAAGUAAAUAUAAGGCAGCGAAUAAAUCAUACGAUGAGCCAAAGCGCCACAUAGUUCUUUUAGGAAAAAGAGACAUCGUGGGAUUGGAGGGCAAGACAAACAUGUCUGAAGAUUACAAAAAGUUCCAUGAAAUUCCUCCCUUCAAAGUAAAGGCUGACCCAAGCACCCUAUUAAACGAUGAAUCAAUGGUUACGGCGCAAUAAGCAAAGAACACAAGCAAAGAAAAAGUGAAUAAAUGAAAUGCCUUUUGUAACAGAUGAGUUUUCGUAUGAAACCAUGAUACUUUGAAAGAGAUUGUCGAUUUGUACACGAAGUGCAUCCAGUUUUUGCCGUAACCCUCUCAACUUUUUAGCACAUGCUAUGUGGGUGAAAUGAUGAUACCAUGCCAACUUUCAACCUUUUCAGAGUUCAUUUCUAGUGCUUUUCAAUUUCAUGGUCAUUUAGCUCAAAAAAUCAGUAAAUGCAUGAAAAUACCAAAUGAAGUCAGAAAUUGUUGAUAAUUGAUGAUGUGGCUUUGAAUGGUGAAUUUUGAACACAAAAAAAUUCUGGAGUUCAAAUAAGUUCAAAAAAAUGAAAUCCCUUUGUAACAGAUUAGUUUUUGUUGAAACCCUGAUACUUCGAAAGAGAUUGUCUGUUUUGUACACGAAGUGCAUCUAGUUUUUGCCGUAACCCUCUCAAUUUCUUAGCACAUGCUAUGUGGGUGAAAUGAUGAUACCAUGCCAACUUUCAACCUUUUCAGAGUUCAUUUGUAGUGCUAUUCAAUUUAAGGGUCAUUUAGUUAAAAAGAAUCAGUAAAUGCAUGAAAAAUACCAAAUGAAGUGAGAAAUUGUUGAAAAUUGAUGAUGUGGCUUUGGAUGGUGCAUUUUGAAAAAUUUUGUGAACUAAAAGCAAAAAGAAUCACUGAAAAAUAGUAAGUAGGAACAAAAUAAAAUAAAUAAAGUAAAAAAACAAAACAAAAAACUAGAAUUGUUUUUUGAAAAAUGCCACCUACUAGGCCACCAUGGCCUGAAUACGACUAGAAACCCAACCAGCUGGUUAUGCCAAGAUUCAGGCCCGCAGAAGACCCAAUAGGCCCACAGGCAGUGACAGAUUAGGCCCGGAAGCGUGCAGUUGAGAGGAGCUCGAUAGGGUGUGCGCAGCAGCGCAUAUAAACCACCCGCGAGCUCUCUCGGCUACCGAGGUGGGACUAAAAAUUUGGCCCGGGCAGCACCACACUUUGGUCCCGGUUGGUGGCUCCAACCGGGACCAAUACCACCCUUUCGUCCUAGUUGGAGCCACCAACCGGUACUAAAGGUCUCUUCUUCCCACCCUUUGGGGCUGCUGAAAAUUGAUCGUUGGUCCCGAUUGGUGGCUCCAACCGGGACGAAAGGGUGGCAUUGGUCCCGGUUUCAGCCACCAAUCAGAACCAAAGGUGUUCGCAUAUAUGGCGAGACUUAUCGAAAUUUCCACCAACUCCCAUUUCCCCCGUUCUCUUCUUUCAUCGUCUUCUCCGUCGCCCCCGAGCCCGUCCUAGUCGCCGCCUCAAUCCCGUCGCCGCCGGCCCGCGCCUCGUCCACGAGCCCAUCAUCGCCGUCGCCGCCUCGAUCCCGUCGCCAUCGGCCCGUGCCUCGUCCACGAGCCCAUCGUCGCCGUCGCCGUCGCCCUGAAGCCCGUCGUUGCACUGAGCCAAUCGCUGUUGCCGUCGCCCCCGUGGUCACCGCCGUCGUCCCGAGCCCAUCGUCGCCGUCGCCCCAGAGCCCAUCGCCGUCAUCGUCGGCGUCGCCCGCGAGCCCAUCGCCGUCGUCGUCGCCCCGCGCCCGUCGUCGCCCCUCGCCCAUCGUCUCCCCGAGCCCAUCGCCGUCGCUGUCACCCCGAGCCCAUCGCCGUCGUCGUCGCCCCCGAGCCCGUCGACGCCGCCCCGAGGCCAUCGUCGUCGGCCCGCGCCUCCUCCCAGAUACCGUCAUCGUCAUCGCCCGUCGUCGUCGCCCAUCGCCACCUAGAGCCCUCGCCAUCCCGAGCCCGUCGGCGCCCUUCGCCGCCCCUCGCCCAUCGUCGCCUAGUUUGUGCAUUUUCUCUGUACAUUUUCAAAUGUUCACUAUGCAUUUUUGUAUAUUUUCAUAUAUUCACUAUGUACAUUUGUUUAUUUAUAUUUUUUUAUGUAUAAUAAUAUCAUGAUAGCUGUUUCUAGUUUAUGAUUAUACAUAAACAAAUAGUAAAAUAGGACUCAUGUCUACACCAUGAUUGGUACCAAAAUAGGACUCCUAUAGCUAAGAUGACAUUUAGUACAAGACCUUUGGUAUUGGUCUUGGAAAAAUAUUGAACAUUGUUGGAUCAUGUUCUAUUGCUAACCAAUUUUGGUGAUACCCCUCCAAGUAGUAACGAGACACAUUUCAAAUUUGAGUCCCUGACUUGUUAGCGAUGAAAUUGUAGAAUCUGUGACUUGCGAAGAUUCCUUCAUGGAUGAACUAAACACACCCCUCCAAGUAGUGACGAGACACGGUUUUUUGUUCAUAGAAGAAAGUUUUUUGUUUAUAGAAGAAAGUUUUUUGUAUAGAAUCCGUUGUUUGACAUUCAUGAGAGAGGUGGUCCGGACGUCGGACAUUCAUGUUUGUAUAUUAAUUGCGAUGUUGUAAUAUUUGCAGAAACUAUGUAUCCAAGAAAUUUGGAACAAGAACAGUUGUUUGGUGAGAUAAUCCACGACGGAGGUGAGAUAUCUUGGUGUCUCUACGACAAUGAUGGUCUGGAAGGAGAGGAUGACGGCUCCGGUGAUCGAACAAUGGAGGAGGAAGGACAUGAUCAUGAUGGCUCCGGUGACCGAAUGCCGGAGGAAGAAGGAAACCAUGAAGACGGUUUCGGUGUUCGAACAGAGGAGGGAGCUGUUGCAAAGUCCAGAUCGAGCCAAACUUCGGUUACGAGAUGAGGCCCUCAGAGAAGGUUGCACAAGGAUGAAAAGUUCACGAUCACAACACUCGCGGAUGAUGGCCUACCGAUUCUACCCAAGCGGACCAAGGACACAUUUUCUGCUCAGUGCGGAGCUAUUGCUAGGGACAACAUCCCGAUCAGCAUCAAGCAAUGGAAUAAGCCUAAGGGCGACGACGUCCCUGAAGGUGAUUAUGUCACUGAUAGGCAGAAAGAUGAUCUUUCAACCGCGCUGAAGGAGGAUCCGAAUAAGCCAGCAUUUGUGGCCUACAAGAUGAGAGAUCACUGGUCCGCAUUUGUGGCCUACAAGACAUCGGACAAGAGUAAGAAAAUGUCAGAGACAAACAAGAACAAUGCUGCAAAGAUGCAGCAUCACCAUCACACGGGGUCAGGUGGCUACCUUAAAGCCCGUCCGUUGUGGGACAAAGCUGAGAAUGACCUGAUUGCUAAAGGGAUCGAACCACAGACAUUUAACUGUCCAGACCGUUCAAGGACUUUGUUCUUUGGGGUUGGGGGAACUUUGGACCCUGAAACAGGGAAGUGUCGUUGGACAAACGAGAAAUUUGCAAUACACAUCAAGAAGCUUCAGAAGUGUGUCACCGCAUUGCCGGAAGGGACGUUCAUUCCCGACAGAGAGACGUACGAGCUGACCGAGGCCCUAGGGAAUGCUGAGAACCCUGGACGAACACGAGGGACACAUGCUCCGUUCCGUGGAAGGUUGAGUUUCCCGACGGGGGCGGUUACAGAAGCCGAGAGAGAAAGAGGAAACGGGAGCUGAGAAACAUGCAAAAGAUCAAUGCAAGACUACAAAAUCUAGAGGAACUUGAGAACUAGCGAGCUGCCGGCCAACCUUCUUAGCGGCACGAAGCCACCCUAGAAGCUACCCCGCCAUCUCAGCGGAGAAGCACUAUGGCUUCCACGGAGCUCGUUCAGCCUUACUUCACGGCUCCUAGCUACCCCGUGGAUACUAUCACAAAGGCACAACAUUGCGAGCUUAUGUUGAAAUGCCAGAACCUCACUUUCAAGGAUGCUAUCAGCUCCGUUGCACCUUCUCAACCCAACGAAACUUUUCAUUGCCUUCUGAUUCCACAUGCCUUUGAUGUUGUGAUGGUGGAUGAAGUAAUGGAGGGAUUUGAGGAGAUCGAGCUUGAGCACCCUAUAGGCGAAGGGGAGAAUAAGCUGGUUCAUGCUGUGAAGAGUACAUGUCUAUGGUAGAAGGAGUACAUCAAUGUUCCAAACUGGACGCCUCCGCCUCGUCCUACUCUUCCGGCGAGUCAGGGUACUCCGCCUCCUCCUUCUCCGGCGAGUGACCAGGGCACUCCGCCUCCUUCUUCUUCUCCUGUUGGAAAUAUGCCCUAGAGGCAAUGAUAAAAUAGUUAUUAUUAUAUUUUCCGUUUCAAGAUAAUCGUUUAUUAUCCAUGUUAUAAUUUUAUUGAAUGAAAACAUAAAUGCAUGUGUGGAUAUAUAGACAAAACAAUGUCCCUAGUAAGCCUCUAGUUGACUAGCUAGUUGAUCAAGGAUGGUUAAGGUUUUCUGACCAUAUGCAAGUGUUGUUACUUGAUGGAUGGAUCACAUCAUUAGGAGAAUGAUGUGAUGGACAAGACCCAAACUAAAAACGAGAGUGAAAUAUGUAUAGGGAUACCGACGAUCAAAUCUCGGGCAAGUAAUAUACCGAAGGACAAAGGGGAUGAUAUACGGGAUUAUAUGAAUCCUUGGCACAGAGGUUCAACCGAUAAGAUCUUUGUAGAAUAUGUAGGAUCCAAUAUGGACAUCUAGGUCCUGCUGUUGGAUAUUGACCGGGGAGUGUAUCAGGUCAUGUGUGCAUAGUUCUCGAACCCGCAGGGUCUACACACUUAAGGUUUGGUGACGUUUCGGUAUAGUUGAGUUUUAGGUAUUGGUGACCGAAGGUUGUUUGGAAUCCCGGAUGAAAUCACAAACAUCAUGAGGGUUUCCAGAAUGGUUCGUAAACGAAGAUUGAUAUAUAGGAUUGCUUCAUUUGGCCCCCGAAAAGAUUUCGGGCAUUACCGACAGUGUACCGGGAGUGACGAAUGGGUUCCACUUUUUUACCAGGAGGGGGCCACCCACCCGGGAGAGAACCCAAUAGCCCAUGGGUGGCGCACCAGCCCUUGGUGGGAUGGUGAGGCCAUCCCAAUGGGGCUAUGUCGUCUAGAAGAAAAAUCAAAGGAGAAAAAAAGAGGGAGGUGGGAAGGAAGGAGGGGACUCCCCUUCCCCGAACCGAACUGGAGUUGGAGUCCCCUCCUCCUCCACUCGGCCGAUGCCCUAGGGGCUCUCUUGAGCCCCAAGGCUAGCCCCUCCCCUCCUCAUAUAGAUACUAGAGGUUUUAGGGUUUUUGAGACACAACUUUUCCACGUGCAACCCUAAACCUCUACUUCGUAGUUCUUCCUCUAGAUCGGUUUUCUGCGGAGCUCGGGCGGAGCCCUGCAGGAAUAGAUCAUCACCUUCACUGGUGCGCCGUCACUCUACGAGAGAACUCAUCUACUUUCCCAUAUCUGUUGCUGGAUCAAGAAGGCGGAGAUCAUCAUCGAGCCCUACGUGUGCUGAACGUGGAGUUGCUGUUCGUUCGGCGCUAGAUCGGAACGGAUCGUGGGACGAUGGUUAUUUGAAUCACGAAUUUGUUUCACUACAUCAACCGCGUUUCUCAAUGCUUCCCGCUUAGCAAUCUACAAGGGUAUGUGGAUCCGAUAUCCCUCUCGUAGAUGAACAUCACCAUCAUCGGUAUUCGUGUGCGUAGGAAAUUUUUUGUUUCCCAUGCAACGUUCCCCAACAGUGGCAUCAUGAGAUUGGUUCAUGCUUAGAUGUAAUCUCGAGUAGAACACAAAAGUUUUUGUGGGCAUUGAUGUUCGAUUUGCUGCCCUCCUUAGUUUUUUGUUGAUUUGGCGGUAUUGUUGGAUUGAAGCAGCCCGGACCAAUAUUACUCGUAUGCUUACGAGAGACCGGUUUCAUCGACUAACAUGCAACUUGUUGCAUAAAGAUGACUGGAGGGUGCUUGUUUCUUCAACUUUAGGUGAAUUGGAUUUGACCGAGGCGGUCCUUGGAGAGAGGUAUAAAUAGCAAUUUGCACAUCUCCGUUGUGGCUUUGCGUAAGUAAGAUGCGAUCAUACUAGAUACCCAUAGCAUCCACGUAAAACAUGCAACAACAAAUUGGAGGACGUAUAACUUGUUUUUGGAAGGUAUGCGUGUGAUGUGAUAUGGCCAAAGACAUGAUGUGAUAUAUUGGAUGUAUGAGAUGAUCAUGUUGUAAUAGUUAAAUAGCGACUUGCACGUCGAUGGUACGGCAACCGGCAGGAGCCAUAGGGUUGUCUUUAAACUAACGUUUGUGUUUGCACAUGCGUUUACUAUAUUGCUAGGUUGUAGCUUUAGUAGUAAUAGCAUAGAUAGCACGACAUCCUCGAUGGCGGCAUGAUGAUGGAGAUCCUCUCCCNNNNNNNNNNNNNNNNNNNNNNNNNNNNNNNNNNNNNNNNNNNNNNNNNNNNNNNNNNNNNNNNNNNNNNNNNNNNNNNNNNNNNNNNNNNNNNNNNNNNGUGUUUGUCGAGAUCCGAUGAAUUGUGGACUUGUGAUCAGAUUAUCUAUGAUAUAUAUUUGAGUCUUUGCUGAUUUCUUAUAUGCAUGAUUUGAUAUCCUUGUAAGUCUCUCCGAGUCUUGGGUUUUGUUUGGCCAACUAGAUCUAUGAUUCUUGCAAUGGGAGAAGUGCUUGGUUUUGGGUUCUGCCAUGUGGUGACCUUUCCCAGUGACAGUAGGGGCAACAAGGCACACAUCAAGCAGUUGCCAUCAAGGGUAAAAAGAUGGGGUUUUUAUCAUUGGUUUGAGAUUAUCCCUCUACAUCAUGUCAUCUUGCUUAAGGCGUUACUCUGUUCUUAUGGACUUAAUACACUAGAUGCAUGUGUGGAUAGCGGUCGACGUGUGGAGUAAUAGUAGUAGAUGCAGAAAGUAUCGGUCUACUUGUUUCGUACGUGAUGCCUAUAGAAAUAAUCAUUGCAUAGAUAUCGUCAUGACUCUACACAGUUCUAUCAAUUGCUCGACAGUUAUUUGUUCACCCACCGUCUACUUGCUUUCAUGAGAGAAGCCACUAGUAAACACUACGGCCCCCGGGUCUAUUCACAUCCAUCGUUUACAUCUCCGCUUUUACCUUGCUUUGNNNNNNNNNNNNNNNNNNNNNNNNNNNNNNNNNNNNNNNNNNNNNNNNNNNNNNNNNNNNNNNNNNNNNNNNNNNNNNNNNNNNNNNNNNNNNNNNNNNNGAAUUCUCAAUUGUUUCUCAUGCCAUUCUUCAUCUCUCUACAACCUUCAAGAUUCAUUGGUUUCACUCGUUUGUCAAGAAGCAACUUAGUUUUACCUCUUCCUUUCCUCUUCCUGUUCCCCUUUUCAUUCAUAGAUCUCGAGGCGAGAUCUCUCGUUAGUGUAGGAGAGUUGUAACAAGCCAGAACCGACACUCGAGAAGAUUCCCUUUUUUAUUAUGUUGUCGCGUGUUAAUUUUCUGGUUGUCGCAUUCAUCAUCGCAUCAUUCGCAUCAUCCACAUUGCAUCGGCAAUCCGUUGCCGCCAUUUUUCAAAACUUGCAUCCGUUAUUAGUUGACGCGUCUUUGUGUUCUUGUCGUUGACCGUUCCGAGACCAACCGCACACGCACGCUCCCGCGACAUCGUUAAAAUAUUGUUUUUAAAAGUGUGUAUAAAACUUUCUCGGAUUGGGCCGAAAGUUGGCGUCCGGUCUUAAUGCACUUUAUGUAGACCGCCUGUCAUAUUUCAUCGCAAUCGAAAUCUGUUUAAUACCCGACUGUUCGAUUGUAGUGGCCCUGUCAUCGGUUUAUUCGUUGGACGUUUUCUCGGUUUUAUAAACUCUGUCAUGGACCGCACCAUUUCCCUCUCAUCUUGGCCUAACCCACCUCUACAUAUCCCACUUCAACCCAACAAAACAACCUCUCUGAUCGGACCGUCCGAUCGCGAUCAGAGGGUAAAAAUGUCCCCAAACUGCAAAGCAUAGCUAUCCUGCCUAUCAAUAGACGGCCCUCCCUGCCUAUUUUGGGGUAAACCCUAGCUCCCCUCGAAAUCCAUGCCCCAACCGCCACUUGGGCCUCCCAGCCGCCAGCCACCUCUCCCACCACUGGCAGGCUCGUCGGAACCCAGAUCUGGAUCUCCCAGGCCGGGAUACAGCCGCGGCCGCGGCCCGCACGAGUCGUGCCUUGGGAGCCGCUCCUCUGGAGCUCCAUCAUGCACAAGCGCCCGCCCGCCCGACACCGUGCCACUAGCCAUCGAUCCUCCGCCGACCUGCAUUGCGCUCCCACACCAGAGCCUCGCCGCCCCCGCAGCCCCUCGUCGCCUCGUGCCCCGGCCGAACCUCGCCGCCGUGCCCAAGCCUCCCCGACCGAACCUCUCCCUCGAGGCCAUGGCGCCGAGCGCCCUUGUCCCCGCCUCCUCCUACGGUCGGUCCUCGCCGGAGCUCUCUGGUCUCAUCGGCCGCCGCCCCUUGUCCCCCACCGCGUUGUUGCCCGCUGGCUACCUCGGCGCGCCAUCGCCGCCACCUCCUACCCGAUCUAGGCCGGAUCGAGGAGCACGACGAGCUGCCCUCGCCCUCCCAGUCACCCACGUGGUCCAGGCCAGCAGGCCCACCUCCUCCGCCAAGGCUCGGCCUAACCUCCAGCCGGCUUGCUGCGACAAUGCUUGGCCAGACUCUAAGGCCGAGUCGACACCGCGUGUGGAGCACCAAGACGAGCGCCUAGGCCCAGCCGCUCGCCUCCUCGCCAGCCCAAGGCCACGCAGGGCUAGCUCUGAGCUGCUCCAUCGACCAACGCAGUUGGCCUACUGUGAGCAAGCCACCCCCUCUCUAUUAUGUGACGCUCAGAGCGUUAGAUAGCUAACCAACACCUAUUUCCUGUUUUAGAUUUGACCAAUGCAUGUUUUUUUCGCGCUGCGAAUUUAACAAAUAUUCUUAGACAUGCAUAAAUUUCAGUAAAGGCAUCAUUUUAAAAAUACAUAUAACUAAUUAUCCGUGCAUCACAUGUUAAAAUAUUAUAUAUAUAUAUAUAUAAUGUCUAGAGUUUGGUGUAGAUUAUUGAUUUCUAACUUUCAUGCAUGUUUAAAAUAGUUAAACGUGAUGUUUGCAUUUGCAGAUGCCAUAUUAUAAUUAUUUAAUUCAUAGCAAAUUAAUUGUGCAUCGGAAUUAUAAACUUAAUACAUGAAAAUACUUAAAAUUUUGUGUAGUCUCACAAUAUCCAACUCUAAUCCAUGUUUAAAAUGUUUAAACUUGUUGUUUAAUUAAAUUUGCGCAGAUGCCAUGUUGAAAUGAUUUAAUUCAUAAUUAAUUAACCGUAGCUUCCAUUAAAUUGAUCUACAUAUGUAACUUGAUCGAAAAAAUGAGUAGAAUAACAUAGUGGCAUUUAUUUUCGUGUUUAAAAACUCUAAAAUUAUGUUUUAGGGAGAUCUGCAGCAAAUUCAAAAUUACAUAAUGGGACUUUCAGGAAAUGUUAUUUGUUUUCCCAGCCUCAGUUAAACUUGCUUAGAAUUUAAUGUAUUUUUUAAUAUCUUGUGUAUCCAUGAUUUAACAUGUUGUGGCUCUCAUUUGCAUGCAUUUUGUAUUCGUGGCAUAUCAUGUUGUGUUGCUCAUAUCUUUUAAAUCAUAGAUCUGUUUACAAUGAUCUAUAUACGUAAAUCGAUUAGAAUGACGUGUAGAAUCGCAUGGUCCACUUUAUUUAGCUGUUUAAUAAAUAUAAAAUGUGAUUAGUUCAGAUCUGGACAGAUUUCAAAAUUAACACACGGGAUCAUUUCGGAAAUGCUAAAAGUUGUUUCCGACCUCAUUUAAAAUGCCUAGAUAGUGUAGUUUAUUUAUGCUUCACCUCUUGUCAUGUUUAACAACAUUUAACAUUGAUGAGUACCGAAAUGAGAGUGAAGUAAAUAUUUGAACACGGAGCUUCGUCAGUAUGCAACUCGUUGCAUAUUGCGCUUCACUUAAUGUGUAGUAUUUUAUUGUGGUGAUUGUCAUGCCUUGCAUAAUUAAACCAUACAUGCAUCAUUUGUGUUGUGCAUCAUAUCAUGCAUAUGUUGUGGUGUUAUUUUAUGUUGAUUCUUGUUUCGGAUUGCUUCUUUUCGAUAGAGUUCCGCAAGCAUGUUAGAGUGUGAGGAUUUGUACGACUAUAUUGGUUCGUCUGCUUCAUGGAUUUGUUCUUCUUCCAAGCGGGAUCACACGCAAGAUGCUCAUUUCCGGAGAUACCAUUACUAUCAUUGUCAUGCUAGUUGUCUCGUUUCUUUCACUAUGUCUCGCUAUCUACCACAUGUUUAAUAAGUCUCCCAACAUUGCCAUGAAAAGCCUCUAACCUUUCCACAACCCAGCAAACCACUGUUUGGCUAUGUUACUGCUUGCUCAACCUUCUUAUAGCGUUGCUAUUUGCAGGUGUAGUUGCUUCCAUGUGAAACAUGGGUUCCUUGUUAUAUCACCAUAUUAUUUCCAUUCAAUUUAAUGCACCUAUAUACCUGGUAAAAGGCGAAAGGCUUGGCCUUUUGGCUGGGUGUUUUUUUCCGAUUUUGCUGCCUUAGUUUUGGCUACCGGUGUUAAGUUCCAUACUGAGUGAUCCUAACAUGCUUGGGGUGUUAUGGGGACACCUUUGACUUCCGUUUUUUGGAUAAAACUCUUCUAGCAAGGCCCAUCAUUGGUACUAUAUUUGCCCAACAUAAUAAUACUGAAAAACAUAGCGCGUCAUGAACCCGAGGAGUAACUCAACAUAAUACAGGGGGACAGUGCUGACGGUGUUGGUCCCAAACGGGUUGCCUGCGAGGCCAACAUGAGGGAACUCGAGGAUUGGUUUUACUCGUAGCUAGUCCCAUCCGAUUGUGCCCUCAGAACGAGAUACAUGGCUCCUAUCGGGGAUGUCGGCACGUUGGGCGACAUUGAUGGAUUUUUUUACUUUUCUUGAAUGUCUUGUGCGAGGAAUUCCGUGGAUACUUUGGGCUAUCUCGAGGUUGAGGUUUUUCACUUGAAAUCCGAAGAGAUCACGGGUUCUCCACGGUUGAGGUUUCCGCCGAAGCGUGUGGUAGUUUGAGAUGGACUAGUUGAAGUACCCCUGCAGGGUUAAAUAUUUCAAAAAGUCGUGCCCAUAGUUAGGUGGAAAAUUGGAAACUUUGUUUAACAUCGGGUUCUAGAAAACUUGAAGUAAACUUAGAUAAAAUAUACCAACUAUGUGCGUAACCGUGACUGUCUCUUCUCAUGAGUUUUGCAUACGGAAGAGGACACACUGGGGUUAUAUACGACGUAAGUAGGUGUUCAGGAUCACUUUGAGAUCAUUAUUAGUUUACGGCCGUUUAUGCGUAGAUCACCCUCCUCUUAUUCUUGUAUGCGUAAGUUAGCCACCUCAAAUAAAUGCUUAGUUGCUUGUUCCAACCUCGCCGCUUAACCAUACCUCACCCGUUAAGCUUUGCUUGUCUUGAUACCUCUGGAAAUGAGAUUGAUUAGUCCACGUGACUCAUAGAUUACUACAACAAUAAUUGCAGGUACAGGUAAAGCGAUACUUUGACGUGAGUGCAAUGAUUGUUCUAUUUGGAGUUUCUUCUUCUUCUUCCUCGAUCUAGGACGAGUUCCAGGCCGGCAGCUCGGGAUAGCAAGGAUGGACGUCUUUCUUUUAUUGUUUCUUUUCCUCUGUUGUUGGACCCUACUCUUCUACAUUGUGAUUGAAUACAUUAUUCUAUUGUGUUAUUCAUGUUGUAGCUUGUGGCGAGUGUAAUCCAAUUCCGUUUACUCAUCUUUUCUGUACUUGUACUUGUAACGAUAUCCAUUCUUGCAAAACAACGAGAUGCCCUUCUUUCCGUGUCGUGGCCCUCGAGCCAAAAUAAGGAUAAGAUUGCAUCUUGGGCAUUACACCAAAUCCAAGAAGGAAACUACAGUUUUUCCGGGAUCGCUGUUUUUUGGGUAUCUUCUUCAAACUUUGCAUUGACACCACGUUCACAUGGACAUGUUUCUAUGUUCCUUUGAAUUUCACCCAAGAAAAUAAACAUUCUGAUAUUUGAUUCCACUUUUACUAUGCAAUAUACUGAAUAGGCUAUGAACAUACAGUGGACAAGUUGUUCAUCCAGGUGAUUUCUGUUGUUUUCUGGCAUUUUUGUAUACAAUUAUGAUUUUUUUUCAUGGGUUGUUUGAAAUUUACAUGGCAUCCAUAAAAUAUAAUUGAUGGGUUUGCAAUUCUCUUUUUUCUUAUAGAGAAAAGGUCAACUUAGAGUAUGAAUUCAAAAAUUUAUACCUGCAUAAUGAAGACGUGUGUCGCACGUGCAUGCUUACUAGUGCUACUAAAAAACAACCCCACAUGCUACUCUAUGUUGGUACUGCUCCACGCGCUCCAUGCACGGACUCGGACCCGAAGCUGUCCGUGAAUAGGCCCUAUUGGUAGUAGCCACCUCAAUUCAUGUGUAACCAGAUCUUUAGGGCAUUUGUUUUACUCUCUCCAUUCCUAAAUAUAUGUCUUUUAAGAGAUUACAUUAUAAACUAUAUACGAAUGUAUAUUGUCAUACUUUAGAAUGUAGAUUCAAUUAUUUUACUCUGUUUGCAGUUCAUAGUGAAAUCUCGGAAAAAACUUAUAUUUGAAAAAAGGAGGGAGUAGAUGAUAAGACAAUGUUUUUAUAUAUUCGAUACUAAGACUACUAAGCCCGUAAGGAUUCUUUUUUCUGGGUUUUUUAGACUUUUUUUAACGCUUCUAAGAAAAUGACACGUGCGCCUAGUAUGUUUCUCUUCCUCCAUUUGCUGGGUUUCAUCUCACCGCUUUGACCACUUAAUAGUAAAAGUUGUCUCGGAGUACUGAUGUGAUGGGUGGGCAGCCUAUAGUGCAUAUGCUUUCAUAAAAAUUAGGCUGUGCAGCGUGUUUGUGUUCUUUUGUUUAUUGUUAGAUGGGUGUGAUUGGCUCUCCUAGAAGGUUCCUCUUUAGAAAAAGAAUUAGCUUGACUGUACGUGUACGGGCUGGUUUUGUCUCAUGCGCAAAAAUCAGGUUGAUUGCACGUGCAUGUUCUAGAUGUGUAUGGGCUGGUUUUGUCUUGUGCACCGCUGCAUGGUUCAUGCAUGCAUGUGGCCAUGUUUCCUGUUGUAUACUGCCUCCGCUCUUAAAUAUAAGUCUUUUAGAAGAUUUUUUAAGAGACUACAUAUAGAAUAAAAUGAGUGAAUCUAUAUUUUCAAAUAUGUCUAUAUAUAUAUCCGUAUGUAAUUCUCUAGUGAAAUAUCUAAAAAGGCUUAUAUUAUGAAACGGAGGGAGUAGUUUCCUCUUUAUGUCAUCGAUGUACACGUUGUGUUCUGGGUUUCUUUUGUGGGUUUCAUUUUUUCCCUCUCCUUUUUCCUGCCUAUAAGUAGCUCUUUGCUCCUUCUCUCCUGUGUACUUCAUGUUUGUUUAGUCUCUAUUAUGGUUUCUGCUGUUGCGCAUGCUUCUCAGCGUGUUCAUUCGACGUCCUUGGGCUCCUCUUCUUUUGUUGGUGAUCCUGAUGGGGGUUGCUGGGGUUGGCUGUCGAUGGUGGUUCUAUUCCUGGUGAGUAUUGUUCUUUUUGGACCUUCAUUGGAAUGGUUUGAUUGUUGAUUUUUGCAGUCUUUUUGAUUGUGUUGGUGAUGUUGUGUGUUUUUAGGCUUGAGGGCUGAUGAGGCGGACGCCGCCGCCAGGAUCGGAUGCGGCUCCUUCGUCGUCUUCCUAGGACGCCCUCCCUUCAUCUCCUCUUCGUCGGGUCAUCAACCAUCGAGUAGGGAGGUGCACACAUAGGCCAUGGCUGAUUGAGGAGGAACUUGCUUCGGUGGGCUGUAGUGGCGGCUUGGAUUUCCUUCUCCCGAGGCGACACGGUGUUCCUCAACCCAAAUGUUUCCCUGAGGAGCACCACCAUGCCUCACCAUCGGACGCAUCACUGCAAGUACCACCACCACAAUAAUAUGUCGGUCCUUCAUUUCCCCAUCACCUACUAGCCAAGGUCCACCUCUGGGUAAGCUCCUUUGGGUUCAGUUAUGGCUUCUCAAGCACGCUAGAUUUUUCCCGUGAUUUCUUUUUUCAUGAUAGACCUGCGUUUUGUGGCGGAGUAGCAUAAAAAUUUCUAUUUCUUCACUAGUUUACUUGCCGAAGGUUAGAUUGCAAGAGGUGGCAAGCCGGUAGGAGGUAACCUCGAAAUCAGCGACAGUGAGCCGGUGACGACGGUGGUUGACACAAUGGCCGAGGGAAAUUUUCAAUUCGUGCUGCUUUUUUUUCUGAAUUAUUUGGAUCACAAUCACUUGAGUUUACUGUUUUUGCAGUGUCAAAUCAUCCAUCAUUGACACCUACAGGAUCCUGAUGCCACAGUAACUAAGCAAAAACAACAAACCCCAAACAAACCAAUGGAAUCUUGAACUAUUUUACCAUGAAUCAAUUCUUUAAACGACUUAUCAAAUAUUACACAAAAAACAAAACUAAAUAGUUAAUCAAUCCAUGUGGCGCCGCGUGCCGCCGCGCACUAUUUGCUAGUACUAUCUAGAGAAGCAAUAAAAUAUGUGAUCCAAUCAAUUAUUUUUUAAUGUUAUCUUUAUAUUUACCAUUACAAAUCCUAUAAAUAUAGGAGGAUUGAAAUAAAGACUAAAAUACAUGUGAAUAAUAGACGACUCAUACAAUGUCUUAGAUUUUUUUUCAUAAAUAUCGUCUCUUUUAUACCAUUGUUACUCGGUGAGAAAUAUAACAAUAUUCAAACCAGAGAUUACGGCUUUGGGGUCGACCCCGGUAACGAAAAAAGAAUCCAUAAAAACUUGGGAUCCAACACCAUGAUAAAAUACGACCCUCAUGGUUAAAACAUGUCCCUGAGAUUUGAUAAGAAAAUGUUGCAUUAGCGGUUAAUACGCUGUAAUUAAAUAAGUUAUUUGGAAUAUGACGGAACCAAAGACCAAGGAAUGGAAGAAGAAAGCACCAAAAUGCAAGUGCUGCACCAAACGCCGGUGGUUGUUUCUUGUUGUAAGUGCAUGCAACGAAAAGACCCAUAAAUAACGAAUAAUGAGAAAAUUCAUUUAUAAACAUUUCGUGCCCAUUUUCAAAUUUCUUCUUAGUUAUAUACUGAGAAUUGACAUAAUAGAUAAUUUACAUGUGGUUGGAUGGUUAGAGGGACUUUGGUAUCCCAACCUUCCAAAGUUUAAAUUUUGAUGUUCGCAAGAGAUGUUUCCGUUGAUGAAAAGGUGUCUACAGUGAAUUUGUAAGUUUUAAGAUGAUAUGUCGGCUCGGUCUCUAGAAGGUACUCAUAAAGAUAAGAUGUGCAUGUGUGUUCAUAGGAGUGAGUGUAUACGCGUCUACGAGCGUUUGAGUAUGUACUGUCAUAAAAAAAAAGACAACAUCGUCAACACGGUGGCAUAGAUAUCACUGGAAUUCUUAUCAUGUAUAUUUCUCUUUAUGCAUAGCCGUAGUUUACAUGCACCUCACCCAAACGUAGUUGUAGUACUCUUAUGAUUGUAGUACUCAUACAAUGUUAACUCGAGUUGCAGGGAGAGAACACAUACACAAGCAGAACAAAAGUAAAAAGGGAAAUAAAAUGAACCUGGCACGAAACCAUGUUGUAUGAUAAAAGGGAGUUAGCUUGUUUAGGCCUUGCCAGACUCCUCGCAGCCUGGUGGCUUGAAGGCGAUGAAGCUGACGCACUGCACCUGACGCAUGUUGUCGAAUCCGAUGAUGCGGACAUAGGCGUCAGGGUACUCCUUCUUGACCUCCUCCACUUCGUUUAACACCUGUGUGGCGUCGGUGCACCCAAACAUAGGUAGCUUCCACAUUGUCCAGUAUCGGCCAUCGUAAUACCCUGGAGAGGCAUUGUGCUCACGGAAGAUGAAUCCAACCUUGCUGAACUCGAGACAAGGCACCCACUUGGAGCGGAUCAGGUAGUCGACCUGCUUCAGGAGUGCCUCCGUGGAGAGCG
rnacentral:lncRNA from 1 species